rnacentral:rRNA from 1 species
UACGUAGGGGGCAAGCGUUGUCCGGAAUCAUUGGGCGUAAAGAGCGCGUAGGCGGUCCGGUAAGUCGGUUGUGAAAACUGGGGGGCUCAACCCUCAGAGGCCGAUCGAUACUGUCGGGCUAGAGUCCGGAAGAGGCGAGUGGAAUUCCUGGUGUAGCGGUGAAAUGCGCAGAUAUCGGGAGGAACACCGGUGGCGAAGGCGGUUCUCUGGGCCUUACCUGACGCUGAGGAGCGAAAGCGUGGGGAGCGAACAGG